rnacentral:lncRNA from 1 species
CUGAAUGUAAUUGAAACAAUUCAUUAUCAAAUUUACUGAUCUGCUUAAUGAUUUUGUAUUUCUCUUUCAAAAUCACCUUCCUCCUAAGCUAGCCUAGGUAAAUUACCCUUUGCUUCAAAUCUGAGAGAUUGAAGGGACCUGGGAGAACAUCCAAUUCAAGCCCCCUCACUUUAAAAAUGGUGUAACAGUGUUUUGUGUGUCCAUGGUGAGGUUGCAGACCUUUAUCGAGGUCACAGAGCAAGUCCAGCAAGAGUUGAACACAGGCUGCCAGAAUUCCACCCUUGUCUCAUUCCGAGAUUGUGUGCUGAGGGUUUUCAACUGCAUCUCUAAAGGGAAGGCCAAAGAAAGAGCAACAGGAAAGGAUGGUAAAAAGGGGGUAGAAAGGAAGAAGGAAGGGAAGAAAAAAGGGAAAACAGCAAGCUCUCUUUCCAGAGCCACACAUUUUUUUCUGUUUGCUCAGUGGCAGUCUGUUAAAGAAAUACUUCAUUGUCACUGAACACAGAGUCAUUAAAGGCACCUUGGAAAUUUGGACCCUUUUACUAGAAUCAGGGCUUAAAUAGCAACUUAAUUUAUGACACUUCUCGAGGCUGAUGGCGUUUUUGCUCUAAGACCUGCCUUGCAAGAAAUGUUAAAAGAAGUGCUUUAGAGAGCAGGGAAAUUCUAUAGGUCAGACACUUGGAUCUACAUAAAAAAAGGAAGAAACCAAAGGAGAAAUAAGUGAAGGCAUGGAAACCUUGUUCCACACAUUGCCUGGUGCCCUGUCCAGCGCUGCAAGGUGCACUGCGUCUCCUCUGCCCAGCAAGCCACAAGCCCCUCCAGGGUGAGAGGAGAGCCUUCCCUUCCCUUGGUCCUCCCUUCGACACAGGGAGCUGGAGCUGGACAGCCCCAUAGGCACUCAGGGCUUGAAGAAGAUAUCUAGAAAUGUCAAAGCAGAAGAGCCUCGGAGAUAAUCUGAACUAUUUCUGAGUUUAUAUAAGGGAAAACUGAGACUGGAGAGAACUAACAUGUCUAAUAUUACAAUGGAAACUUGUAAUAAAACCACAAAUUGAGUCAAGUCUCCUGAUUCACUAUAUGAGCUUCUUUUGACUCUAAGAAACUGUCCUUCACAAAGUUCCCAAGAAAGAAUGGAUUGGCCAGAUCGAUAGAGGAAUUUCUGAGGAAACUGCACUUGUGUUUUUAUAUACUUGGCACUUAUUCAUGCUAAACAGUAGUUUAGUGCAGUGGUGGAGAAAAGAAUCCCUUUGAAUGAUACCUGAUUAAUGUGUGUAUAAAGCACACAGGCCUAUAAAAUAGUGUGGAAUAUGGGACAAGCUAUCUUGAUGCCAAGCCAUGGAAUGGACCUGUGUGUUACCCAGGACAAGCUCCUUGUUCUAAAACCUUUAUCAUAAGUGCAACGAAUGACUGCCUUUGCUGAUUAUAGAAACCUCUGUCCUGCUCGUGGCAACACCCUUAGCACCAAGCACAGAGCCUCACACAGAGAAUGUGUUCAAGAACUCUUCAGUAGAUAAAUGAAUGAAUGUUCCUCCAUCAUAUGGAGUUUUGGGGUCCCAAGCAACAAAAAUAGAUGCUAGUUAACGUGAGGAGGAUAUGAAUUGGUUUAGGAUAUCAAAGCAAAAGCUGAAUUAACAAGGGGUCCUGGAAAGUUGGGGGCUGAGCAGCUCCAGGCCUCUAGACUGAAGAAAGUAAUGAGGUCUCUUUGGGCAUCCUGCUGGGAUAAACCCUCUUUAAUAAUUUCCCAUCUUUGUCUUCCUCAUCUUAACAUUCAGGCUCCCAAGAAAGAGAGUCCAAUUGGCC